CUGGCAACUACACCCACUCAAGCUGGCCCAGCCCCUCUUGGGGGAUGGAAGAGUGCCUCAGAUGGAUUUGUAUCAAGAGGCUGUGCUCUGAAUCCCCUUAUGGGGUCUUGCUAAGCUGGAAUCCCACAUGAAGUCACACCGUCACGGGGCCUUCUCCACUGGGGCCUCCACCACACUGACGCCACUCAAGGUCAGGGACUCUCCAACUACAAAAAUGAAAGGAGAGACCCAAUCUUGCUAUGCUGCCCAGGCUAGUCUUGAACCCCUGACCUCAAGCAAUCCUCCUGUCUCAGCCUCCCAAGUCUCUGGGAUUACAGACACUUCCAAUAAGAAGACUGAGCCACCAGGCAGAUGUUAUAAGCAAUGUGAGCUUGUGCUGGAAGAAGAGAGAAUCCACCAGUGUCCUGGGCCCUCCAAGGCCUCUCUGAGGGAAAGACAUUUGGACAGAGAUGCCAAGGACAAGGAAGAGGCAGUCACCCACCUCUGGGCAAGGUGCAAAAGCCCAAGAUUCACGUUCAUGUGUUGCAAGCACAAAAAGAAGAUCCUGUGGCUGGAGUAGAGUGAGGAACAGUGAGAAUGGUAGGAGCAGAGGGCAGAGAAAGUGGCAAAAACAAGGUCGCAUGAGGCCUUGUAAGCCAUGGUCAAGAGGUGAUAUUUUAUUUUAAAUGAAUCCAAAGUAAUUGCAAGUUUUUGAGCAAGUAAGCAAAAUGCUCCUUUGCAAAAAACAAAAAAAAAAAAAAAAAAAAAACAAACAAACAAACAAAAAAAAAAACUCUAGGGCUUCAGUAAGGCAAACAAAUUGUGAGUGGGAAAGAGUGGAUGCAGGACUUUUAGGCAAGGGUGGGGUCAGGGAAGAUGGAGAAGAGAAGACAUAAGAUGUUUGGAGGUGGAGCCAACAAGAUGCAUUAUUGACUAGGUUGCAGGUACCUGGCAGGAGACAGGGGCUUUCUCGACCACUCAUGCAAGAGAAGAGUCCAGGAUGCUGCUUCAGUCACCUGUCUGUCCACAAUGACAAUGGGGCAUGAAAAAAUGCCCUAACUCAGGGCAUAAUAAAAUAAUUAGCUUUUAU